UUGGGUGGCUUCAUACUCCAAUGUAAUUGUCGAACUUCCAAUGCCAAUAUCUCCUUUUUGAAUUAUUAAAUUAAUUCUAAAAUAUACUAAAAUUAUAAAAAAUCAAGUCUAGUCUCCAUAAGAAAAAAUUCAAUUCAAUUUAAUUGACAGAUUGCUAAAAAUCUUAAAGAUACUCAUUGACUUUCAAACUCCAAUUUUUGAAACUUCAACCCACAAAAAUCUUCACAUACUUUGAUCUAACUGUUUAAUU
rnacentral:lncRNA from 1 species